GCUGGGCAUGGUAGUGCAUGCCUAUAGUCCCAGCUAUUUGGGAGGCUGAGGCAAGAGGAUUACUUGAGCCUAGGAGUUCAAGGCUACAGUGAGCUAUGUUUGCACCACUGCACUCCAGCCUGGGCAACAGAGUGAGACCAUGUCUCUA
ensembl:misc_RNA Metazoa_SRP Metazoan signal recognition particle RNA